rnacentral:rRNA from 1 species
GCAUAUCAAUAAGCGGAGGAAAAGAAACUANCAAGGAUUCCCCUAGUAACGGCGAGUGAAGCGGGAAGAGCUCAAAUUUGAAAUCUGGUAGCCUUCGGUUGCCCGAGUUGUAAUCUAGAGAAGUGUUUUCCGUGCCGGCCCAUGUACAAGUCCCUUGGAACAGGGCGUCAUAGAGGGUGAGAAUCCCGUCCUUGACAUGGACCCCCGGUGCUUUGUGAUACACUUUCAACGAGUCGAGUUGUUUGGGAAUGCAGCUCAAAAUGGGUGGUGAAUUCCAUCUAAAGCUAAAUAUUGGCGAGAGACCGAUAGCGAACAAGUACCGUGAGGGAAAGAUGAAAAGCACUUUGGAAAGAGAGUUAAACAGUACGUGAAAUUGUUGAAAGGGAAACGAUUGAAGUCAGUCAUGCUCUUGGGACUUACCUCCCUUGAGUGGGGUCAACAUCAGUUUUGAUCGAUGGAUAAAGGCACGGGGAAGGUAGCACUCUCGGGUGAACUUAUAGCCUCGCGUCAUAUACAUUGAUUGGGACUGAGGAACGCAGCAUGCCUUAUGGCCGGGAUUCGUCCACGUACAUGCUUAGGAUGUUGACAUAAUGGCUUUAAACGACCCGUCUUGAAACACGGGACC